rnacentral:rRNA from 2 species
CCUACGGGUGGCUGCAGUGAGGAAUAUUGGUCAAUGGGCGGGAGCCUGAACCAGCCAAGUCGCGUGAAGGAAGAAGGAUCUAUGGUUCGUAAACUUCUUUUGCAGGGGAAUAAAGUGCGGGACGUGUCCUGUUUUGUAUGUACCCUGAGAAUAAGGAUCGGCUAACUCCGUGCCAGCAGCCGCGGUAAUACGGAGGAUCCGAGCGUUAUCCGGAUUUAUUGGGUUUAAAGGGUGCGUAGGUGGUUUGAUAAGUCAGCGGUGAAAGUUUGCAGCUUAACUGUAAAAAUGCCGUUGAAACUGUCGGACUUGAGUGUAAAUGAGGUAGGCGGAAUGCGUGGUGUAGCGGUGAAAUGCAUAGAUAUCACGCAGAACUCCGAUUGCGAAGGCAGCUUACUAAGCUACAACUGACACUGAAGCACGAAAGCGUGGGGAUCAAACAGGAUUAGAUACCCUUGUAGUC